rnacentral:rRNA from 1 species
UACGUAGGGUGCGAGCGUUGUCCGGAAUUAUUGGGCGUAAAGAGCUCGUAGGCGGUUUGUUCGCGUCUGCUGUGAAAACCCGAGGCUCAACCUUGGGCUUGCAGUGGGUACGGGCAGACUAGAGUGCGGUAGGGGUGACUGGAAUUCCUGGUGUAGCGGUGAAAUGCGCAGAUAUCAGGAGGAACACCGGUGGCGAAGGCGGGUCUCUGGGCCGAAACUGACGCUGGAGGAGCGAAAGCGUGGGGAGCAAACAGG